AAAAUCCUCAAUUCUGCUUCGCUCUGUUUCUAACGAAACCGAAAAUGGCGAUUAGGGCUACAAUUGCUGCUGCUUUUGGGCCUUCACAUCUGAUCCCUAUGCUGAUUCUCUUUCUUCUACUGGGAACAACACCCUUCACCGGAGCCGUUGAACAGAAGAAAACGAUGGACCGAAAGCAGAUCCAGGAUUGUGGAGAAAUGGUGUCGAGAUCACAGUGUGUGAGAACCACCAAUUGCAGAUGGUGCCGUAGUGACGCCCUUGACGAUGCCUGCUUCUCUAAAUCUGAAUCUUCACGUUUGCCCUCUCAUAUAUUCACUUGCUAGUAAACCUAUCUGUUGGAUUGCAUAAGAAUUCUUGUUUCGCAAAUGAAUCCAUAAAGCUGUAAAGUUCAUAAUGCUUGAAUGCUGAUCGAGGAACCCGUCAAAUAAAUGGAAUUCAAGGAAAUGGAUGGGAAGACCACAUGUUGUUCAAUUCACUAAAGCUUAAAGACUAAUCUUUUCGUACUUUGGUUCAACCUCGAGAUUAUGGGAACUUCCCUGCAUAUUCAAUUUGCACUAUUCUUGCUGGUA